rnacentral:antisense_RNA from 1 species
ACUUGGAGGACUUGUUCCAGCCAGCGCGAGUGCGUGAGUUAAGGAGAGACGGGAAGGACCGGCUCCAUCCAGCCCUGAGGAUCCCGAAGAAAGGGUGGAAACACCCUGGAUGUGCUAAGCUGUGGCCGGGUACACUCAAGUGUUAAUUUUUUGGAGUCAAAGCCUCCCUCAGUCAAAUCGAAGAAACUGAAGCACUUGGUGACUGACCCAGAUCUUCACGGAGGAAAGGGGAUUCGAACCCGGCUGACCCAGGAGCCUGGGCUCUAUACUCAGUGCAGCAUUCUCACAGACACCCAAGAUAACGUUAUCCUCACGGAAACGAGCUCGACGAAGUGACCUACCCCAGAGCCUCAAGGCUGUGGUGAUGCUGGCAUGAGAAACAACAGGAGAGUUACGAAGAGAUAAGAGGAUGCUGUGCCUCCCUGGGGGUCUUCAGUCACCCAUGGUCCUGGCAAGAGGAGGGCCAGGAGAGAGCUUCACCCACCUGCUGUCCUGCCCAUGUGACAUCCGCAGGUGCUGCCAUGGCCACGACUGUUGUUACACUCGAGCUGAGGAGGCCGGCUGCAGCCCCAAGACAGAGCGCUACUCCUGGCAGUGCGUCAAUCAGAGCGUCCUGUGCG